AUUGAACGCUGGCGGCAGGCCUAACACAUGCAAGUCGAACGGUAACAGGAAGCAGCUUGCUGCUUUGCUGACGAGUGGCGGACGGGUGAGUAAUGUCUGGGAAACUGCCCGAUGGAGGGGGAUAACUACUGGAAACGGUAGCUAAUACCGCAUAACGUCGCAAGACCAAAGAGGGGGACCUUAGGGCCUCUUGCCAUCGGAUGUGCCCAGAUGGGAUUAGCUAGUAGGUGGGGUAACGGCUCACCUAGGCGACGAUACCUAGCUGGUCUGAGAGGAUGACCGGCCACACUGGAACUGAGACACGGUCCAGACUCCUACGGGAGGCAGCAGUGGGGAAUAUUGCACAAUGGACGCAAGCCUGAUGGAGCCAUGCCGCGUGUAUGAAGAAGGUCUUCGGAUUGUAAAGUACUUUCAGCGGGGAGGAAGGAAGUAAAGUGAAAACGUUAGCUCAUUGACGUUACCCAAAGAGGAAGCAACGGCUAACUCCGUG
rnacentral:rRNA from 1 species